UUAACGGCCAUAGGGUUGAACGGAGCGGCCGGGGCCUGGUGUCAAGGCCUGGCCGCGUUCAUCAUGGCGGCCGCCGGGCUCCGGUUGGUGCUGCAGGAGCUGAUGCUGCCGCUCGGGGCCGCCUACGCCGCCGUGCAGGGGAUCGUGUUGGCCGCCAGCCUCAGGAACGGAAACAGGGGGGAACCGGACGGAACGGAACCGGAUGGAGACGGGAUGGAACCGGAGGAACGACGGGAUGGAGGCGAACGGGAGCGAGGUGAACGGGGAGCCGAAACGGGAGCCGAAACGGGAGUUAAACGGGGAAUGGAACCGGGAACUGAACCGGGAGUUGAACGGGGAAACGAACCGGGAAUGGAACCGGGAUCCAAACCGGGAUCAAAACGGGAUGGAGGUGAAGGGGGAAUCGAACCGGGAUCCGAAUAACGGGGAAUGGAACCGGGAAUGGAACAGGGAUCCUAACCGGGAUUUAAACGGGGACAUGAACCGGGAUCUGAACGGGAUGGAGCCCAACGGGAUGGAGAUGAAGGGGGAACUGAACCGGGAUCUGAAUAACGGGGAAUGGAACCGGGAUCUGAACCGGGAUCUGAACCGGGAUCUGAACGGGAUGGAACUGAAGGGGGAAUCGAACCGGGAUCCGAAUAACGGGGAAUGGAACCGGGAAUCGAACCGGGAUCCGAAUAACGGGGAAUGGAACCGGGAUCCGAACCGGGAUUUAAACUGGGAUCAGAACCGGGAUUUAAACGGGGAAUGGAACCGGGAUCCGAACGGGAUGGAACUGAAGGGGGAAUCGAACCGGGAUUCGAAUAACGGGGAAUCGAACCGGGAUCCGAACGGGAUGGAGCCCAACGGGAUGGAGGUGAAGGGGGAACCGAACCGGGAUCCGAACCGGGAUCUGAAUGGGGAAUGGAACCGGGAUCUGAACCGGGAUCGGAACCGGGAAUGGCACCGGGAGCAGCCAUGGAGCCCUAUGGGGCUGUGGGACCCCCCCGGACCCCUAUGGACUCACUGAGACCCCUAUGGAGAUGUGGGACCCCCCUUAAGACCCCUGCCCCCAUUGUUCCCUAUGGAGCCCUGGGACCCCCCCAUACACCACUAUGGAGUCUUAAGACCCCCCCAUUAUCCCCUAUGGAGCUUUAGGACCCCCAUAGCCCCCCCCAUGAGGGACCCCCCCCCAUUGAGACCACUAAGACCCCCCCCCAAAUCACUGUGAAAGCAGGCACCAUAGGCACGAAGACCCCAUUCGUAAGACCUAUGGACCUCCCGAGCCCGGCCCAUAGAACAGCCUAACAGUGCUUAAAACAACCCCCCCACCCAAUAAAGAUCCGCCACUCUUGGGAGCCCCCCA
rnacentral:lncRNA from 1 species